AUUUCCAACCCAAGGCUGAUCUCAGUGGAUUGCAGAGCCAUUUGUUCUUUGCUCUGAUUUGAAAAGAAAGUUUCCAGAGUAGGAUCCCUUCUGCCUCCAGCCUGGCAGUCCCACCUGAUUCUUCGACUCUUCAGAGGAAGGAGGACACAGAAGUGGGUUCCAAAACAGUGUGGGUGGAUGGGGACAUGGAUGGAAAGCAAGCUGGGGAGAGGCUCUUUGAGUGUAGAGAAAGAGGAGGGGUAGAGGCUGUAGUGGUAAUGGAAACAAGGAGGUGGGAAGAAAUUAAACCCUCUCCUCGCUAGGGCAGGACCAGGACACAAAGGGUUGCAGACCCAGUCUCUUUUUGCAUACCCUCUUUCUUUAUUGUCUGAUUGAGGAUUUGUACUUGGCCUUUGUUUCUCACACUACACACACUCCCUGAGCCACUUGACCUCUACCUGCUCAAGGCAAACCCUGAUACCAUAAAUCCCUUUCCAAGCUGUCCCGGGCACCUUCUGGGAACCCUCCUGUGCACCUUUGUCAAUGAUGAGUGUCCACCACUUUCUUUUCAUUAUACUCCAAGUUGCUGUGGUGAUGUUUCCUGUUCCUAUUAAAGCUUAGAGUGUCAGCUGUGUCCCUCAGACAGAAGGGGCUGCAACUCCUGCUGGUCACAGUGUGUGCUGAGGGCCUGAGGGGCUGCUGCCAGCUCAGCUACUUGCAGAGACCCAUGGAGGUAGGAGAGAAACAGCUCCUCAAACUUCAAGUCAUAAAGAUAAGGAAACUGAAGCCCAUCAAGGCAUUAAAUAUCCACGGUUGCUUGAGUGUUAAGGCCAGGACUCCAUCUAGAUUGGUAAUCUCAAAAUCCUUGCUGCCUCAUGGGGCCUGGUCAUAUGAGUUCAGUUUGGGACACAAUGUGUUUGAGGGGCCUGUGAAGUGGUGGGGGGCAAUACUCGGGUGCAGUGGUUGA
rnacentral:lncRNA from 13 species